AGAAGAGUGGCUAAGUAAGCUACUGGAGUUAAAUGAUUUAUUCAGGGUCACAGAGCUAGGAAGCAUCUGAAUCUAGAUUUGAACCCAGGACCUCCUUCCUCUCUCCUGGCCUAGCUCUGUAUCCAUGGAGCCACCUAUGACUUACUCCUGCACUAUCCUUUUCUAUUUCUCCAAAGAACUCAGUCCCUCCCUCAAAGUUCUUAUCAUCCUCCCUAGGCCACCCCAUUCAUGCUGAGGGCCAGAUACUGGAGUCCAGAAGAGAUCACUGUGGGCUACUAGGAUUGGGACAUUUGUGCCGGAUCACUGAAAUGGGUACUGUGCUGGGGAUACAAAGAAGGUCAAAAGACCAUCCUUGCCUUUGAGGAGCUUCAAACCCAACAGACCUCAUGACCAUCAGCCUGGAGAACUCCAAAAGCUUCCCAGAGUCUCUGGGUUCUCAAUCCAAUGUUGCCAGAAUAUCCUUGUGCCCAACUCUUUGUGACCCCGUGGGGGUUUUCUUGGCAAAGAUAUUGGAGGGCUUUCCCAUUUUCUUCUCCAGCUCCUUUGACAGAUGAGGAACUGAGAGAGGGUCCAAAGACUUGUCCAGCUAGUAUCCGAGGCCAGGUUUGAACUCAGAGGAAGGAAGAUGAGUCUUUCUGACUGAGGCUGGGCUCUCUAUCCACUGUGCCACCUAGCUGCUCCCUUUAUUACACACAGAUCUGGUCGAGAGCUCCCAGGGGCCCCUUCCUGCCUAAUAAAUAAAGUUUAAGUUCCUCUGGCAUUCAGUGAGUACACACACACUGAGUCACUUUAGAACUAAGUACUGGCUUCAUUUUUUGUACCUGGAUCUCUAGAACUCAGAAGAGUGCCAGGAAUUAUCUUCCUGGAUACUUGCUGAAUGACUAAUCAAGGUCCUUUACAAUCUGGUACCACCCUACCUUUAUGGCCUUUUCACAAACAAUCUACAUCCCCGUCCCCCUUUACACCUUUGUACAUGUCCACAUUUCAGGCAAUCCCAAACUACUCUAUCCAGUAAAUUGUUAUCAUAAUUUUGCUCAUGCUAUUUCCUGCAAAGGGAAAUGUCCUCCUACCAAUAGACUGCCUACUCAACUCUUUUGACCAGACUUAUGAUUUCAUAUGAGAAGUAGCUGGCAGAAUGCCAGGAAUGGAGCCAGGAAGACCUGAGUGUAACUUCAGCCUCAGAAACUAGCUGUGUGACCCUAAGCAAGUCACUUAACCCUAUUUGCCUCAAGUUUCCUAUCUGUAUGAUGAGGUGUGGGAGGAAAAAGCAAACCACCUCAGUAUCUUUGCCCUAAUUGGGGUCACAAACUAAUAAACACUCACUUCCGGAUUCUAA